rnacentral:rRNA from 1 species
UACGUAGGGUGCAAGCGUUGUCCGGAAUUAUUGGGCGUAAAGAGCUCGUAGGCGGUCUGUCGCGUCUGCUGUGAAACCUAGGCGUUAACUCUGGGCGUGCAGUGGGUACGGGCAGGCUAGAGUGCGGUAGGGGAGACUGGAAUUCCUGGUGUAGCGGUGAAAUACGUAGAGAUUGGGAAGAACACCAGUGGCGAAGGCGGCUAUCUGGACGGUUUCUGACGCUAAGACGCGAAAGCGUGGGAGCAACAGG